CUCACUCCCCAGGCCCACACACUAGCCCACUGUUCAGGGUCCGGGGUGGCAGCAUGGCCUGGGGGUCCUGGCACCGCUGCUCCUCUGCCCACCCUAACUUCCCGGCAUGGCGGCUGCCCCCUCUGAGCGUCCCCAACCAGUAAGUGUGGGGCCAGCAGGCCUGCCGUCCUCCUCCUCUUCCCUCUAGAGAGAAACGUGGAGGUCCUGGGGCUGGGGGCGCUCAUAGCCCUGUGACACAGGUGCAUGGGGUCAGGGGUCCCAGAAUGGCCCCUGGGAAGGACCUCAGCUGGGCCGGCGGCUCUAGGCUUCAGGGGUCUGUCUGCACAGGGGCUAGCCCCUCCCAGACCUCUGUGAAGCCAGUACGGGCCUCCCCUCCCUGCCCCGUGCUCUGUCCGGUGCUUCCUGGACUGCACUGCGGGCCACUGGUGAGAGGGUGGACAGGGAAGGGCCGCCGUGGUGCCUGUUCCUGCCCACCUGGCUGUGUGGUCCCCUCCAAGUAGGGACAACCCUUCUGAGGGCUUGGGGGCACCCUGGGGUUGCCAGGGCCUCCCAGAGCCCUGUGAGCCCCUGGGGGGUCUGGCCUGAUGCCCCCCUCCACGUCCAGGGCCGGCUGUGGCCCAGAACCCCAGCUUCCCAGCAGGCCGGUGUGCGGUGGUGACCCAGGAGAGGCCUCACCUCCACUGAGGGGCCACCGACCUCUGCCAGGCCACAGAGACCCCCAAGGAGUCUGAAGGCUGGAGACCCGGGGCUGGGACCAGGUGGGACUUUCCCACGGAGCCGCCCCCAGGCCCAGCUGGGGACACGUCCCCCUUCUCUCCAGACACACCCUGCCUGCCACCACGACACACCGGCCUGUUGGGGGUCUCUUUUAAGUGCUUGCCACUCUGAGGUGACUGUCCCUUUCCAAAGAGGUUUCUGGGGCCCAGGUGGGAUGCGUCGGCCUGAGCAGGAGGAUCUGGGCCGCCAGGGGCUGGGGACUGUCUCCUGGGGAAGGAAGCGCCUGGGAGCGUGUGUGCUGACCCAGGACCAUCCAGGGAGGCCCGUCUGUGGGGCAAGCGGGAAGGGAGCGGCUGGAGAGGCUUGGCCGCCCCCGCCCUGCCUCCCAUUCCUUAGCUCCAUGCCUGUCAACCUCUGUCACCCAGUGAGUGAUGUCCAGGGGCCCUGGAAAGGUCACAGCAUGUUUGAGCGGGGUGAGAGAGAGGGGAAAGGCGGGGGCGGGGAAAAGUACGUGGAGGAAGCUCUAGGCCCAAGGAAGGAGAAAGGGUUCUGGGAGGGAGGGAGCCACUGGGGCCGCCGGGAAGGUCCCUGCCUGCUGCUGCCACCCAGAACCCUCGCCUCUUAGCUAGCCCCCGCAGCCCCAGCCUUUCUGGCCUGUGCCCCUCUCCCCCAUCCCCAGCUGUCCUGUGCAACCAGGCCUUGGACCCAAACCCUCCUGCCCCCUCCUCUCCCUCCUCACCCUCCCAAUGCAGUGGUCUCCAGCCUGGCUCUGCCCUGCCGCAGGUCCCCUCCCCUCAUUCCAGGCCUAGAGCCUCCAGUCCCGGUGGCCCCCAGCCCGAGGGUGAACGGCCUCACCCUGGGUCGUGGGACAGAGGGCACGUUCAUCAAGAGUGGCUCCCAAGGGACACGUGGCUGUUUGCAGUUCACAGGAAGCAUUCGAGAUAAGGAGCUUGUUUUCCCAGUGGGCACGGAGCCAGCAGGGGGGCUGUGGGGCAGCCCAGGGUCAAGGCCAGGCUGUGGGGCUGCAGCUGCCUUGGGCCCCACUCCCAGGCCUUUGCGGGAGGUGGGAGGCGGGAGGCGGCAGCUGCACAGUGGCCCCAGGCGAGGCUCUCAGCCCCAGUCGCUCUCCGGGUGGGCAGCCCAAGAGGGUCUGGCUGAGCCUCCCACAUCUGGGACUCCAUCACCCAACAACUUAAUUAAGGCUGAAUUUCACGUGUCCUGUGACUUGGGUAGACAAAGCCCCUGUCCAAAGGGGCAGCCAGCCUAAGGCAGUGGGGACGGCGUGGGUGGCGGGCGACGGGGGAGAUGGACAACAGGACCGAGGGUGUGCGGGCGAUGGGGGAGAUGGACAACAGGACCGAGGGUGUGCGGGCGAUGGGGGAGAUGGACAACAGGACCGAGGGUGUGCGGGACACGCAUGUCACUCAUGCACGCCAAUGGGGGGCGUGGGAGGCUGGGGAGCAGACAGACUGGGCUGGGCUGGGCGGGAAGGACGGGCAGAUGGGAUCCCAAGGACAUGGAAUUUCGGACCUUCUGUCCCCGCCCUCUCUGCUGAGCCUAGGAACCUCUGAGCAGCAGGAAGGCCUUGGGUCUAGAGCCUAGAAAUGGACCCCCACGUCCACCUGCCCAGCCUAGACCCCCAGCAUUGAAGGGUGGUCAGACUUCCUGUGAGAGGAAGCCACUAAGCGGGAUGGACACCAUCGCCCACUCCACCCGGCCCUGCCCAGCCCUGCCCAGUCCAGCCCAGUCCAGCCCAGCCCUGCCCUUCCCAGCCCUGCCCAGCCCAGCUCAUCCCUGCCCUACCCAGCCCAGCCCUGUCCUGCCCUGCCCAGCCCAGCCCAGCCCAGCCCUGCCCUGCCCUGCCCUGCCCUUCCCAGCCCUGACCUUCCCAGCCCUGCCCAGCCCAGCUCAUCCCUGCCCUACCCAGCUCAGCCCUGCCCUGCCCUGCCCAGCCCUGCCCAGCCCAGCCCUGCCCUGCCCUGCCCAGCUCAGCCCUGCCCACCCCAGCCCAGCCCAGCCCAGCAUGCCUUCUCUGGCUGGAGAGCACAGGCUUGACCUUAGAAAGAGGCUGGCAACGAGGGCUGAGGCCACCAGGCCACUGGGUGCUCACGGGUCAGACAAGCCCAGAGCCUGCUCCCCUGCCACGGGUCGGGGCUGUCACCGCCAGCAUGCUGUGGAUGUGCAUGGCCUCAGGGCUGCUGGCUCCAGGCUGCCCCCGCCCUGGCUCCCGAGGCCACCCCUCUUAUGCCAUGAACCCUGUGCCACACCCACCUCUGAGCUGUCCCCGCUCCUGCCGCCUGCACCCCCUGAGCAGCCCCCUGUGUGUUUCAUGGGAGUCUUAGCAAGGAAGGGGAGCUCUUCAAUCUUGCCAGUCAGGGUGCUGUCUGCUGAGUAAGUGUCCCCGUGCUGUGCCCCAAUGUCCCCAUCCUUUGGCAAACAGCCAUCAGCCUGUGGAUCCUGCACUCCCAUGCGGUGGGAGAGGGAGACCUGGGCUCACCUGAGCCUCCCCACAAGCCAGGGAGAGGGGCUGCCCAAUGGCGGGAGGCCCCCAUGGAUCCCAAACGGCAGUUGCCCGCACUCCUACCCAGGAACUUUGUCUGUGAUGAACAGUAAGGAAUAAGGAAGCGGGUGAGAAAGAAGGAAGGAAAGGCGGUGGGGGGCAUGGCGGGGGGCGGGGAGGGUGUUUGGAAAGUUCCAGAAAAGAGUCACUUCACCAGAAAGGCCACAAGCUCCCCGUGCCCCCAGCCCCUGCUCGGCUCCGAGGUGAAGGACUUGGAGCGUCGACGCUGGCGUGGGGACCAGCUGUUCUCCUUGAGUUUGUUUCCUUCAGUUCCUUCCGGGCCUCACCCUCCUCUUCCUGCCACACACACACUUUUUUCCUUUUUAAAUUGUUUUAUUUGGGGCCAGGUGUGGUGGCUCACACCUGUAAUCUCAGUAUUUUAGAAGGCCAAGGUGGGCAGAUUGCUUGAGUCCAGGAGUUGGAGACCAGCCUGGGCAACAUAGUGAGACCCCAUCUCUACCAAAUAUCAGCCAGGUGCGGCGGCGCGCACCUGUAUUCCCAGCUAUGUGGGAGACUGAGGUGAGAGGAUCACGUGAGCCCAGGAGGUUGAGGCUGCAGCAAGCCAUGAUCAUACCACUGCACUCCAGCCUGGGCAAGAGAGUGACACCCUGUCUCAAAAAAAAAAAAAAGUAGAAAAAUUUAUUUUAAAAAAUUGUUUUAACAUUUGAGUGCUGCAACUGUCCAAGGAGGAGCAGACGGCCCGUGUCAGACAGCCUGAAGCCUGACUGUCUGCGAUCAACGGCCCCGUGGCCAGCUGUGUGCAGCAGUUUGGCCUGGCCUGAUGCCUCUGUCCUUGGCACCAGCUCACAGCCCGUGCCCAUAACAGACCUGGGGCACCGAAGGAAGGGCAGAUCCAGCCCCCACCUGCCCUGGGUCUGAAGAUCUCCCAGGAGGCUCCAUGGGGUGCCUUGAGUGGGAGGGGCUGGCCGAUAGCCUUGAGGAAUUGGCACGGACAUGCAGAGAGGGGCAUGUCCCAAACUCGGGGCGCUGUGGCCUCCAGCUGCCAGGAGGUAGAUGUGUUCUGACUUCUGGGUUCCCACCACCAGAACUGCAGGGGAUAUGAAGCAAGCUGGACUUGGGGAGACAUCUCUGCUCGAGUGCACGUUGGCCUGAUGACGACUGCUCUUGGGUUCACGGGUUCCAGGCUCUGCCCGGGAGCCUCAUGCAAACUGGUCCCGUUCUACAGACGAGGAAACUGAGGCACAGAGUGAUUACGGCUGUCCCUGAGCUCCUGCAGCCAGUAAGGUGAUACACCAGGAUGUGUUCCCAGGUUGUCCGCUGGGCUCAGUAACACAGUCUCAACUGCCCUGUGACACUGCGUGUCUGUGCUUGUGGGGAAGGUGACCAGAGGCCCCCUUUCCUCCACGCGGUGAGCCUACCAGCAAGGAGACAGUCCUCAGGUGUGAGGAUGAGCCUCGUAGUAGGCACAGAGAAACAGGAGGAACCUUCUGGAAGGUGAAGCCUCCCACGGCUGGGACUCUUGGAGAAGGGCGGAUCUCUGUCCACUCCUGCCCACUCCCCAGCACAGACAGAGCAAGCAGGACAGAGGGCCCAACGUCCCAGGAUACUGCAGAGCUCAAAGGAGGGCAGAGAGCAUCGCCCCACAUGGGCGCCGGGAGAAAGGUGGGCGGGGUGCUCAGGGGCCCCUGGCCGUCCUGAAGUUUGCCUCAGAGAGGUGUGGGCUUCUCCUCCCUCCCAUACACAGUGUCUCUGAGGAUGAACUGCCAUGUGCCCGGCGGGGAUGCCGUCCCUGGCCCUUGCUGAGUGCCUCUGGGACGAGGUCAGCUGAGCCUGCCAUCCUAACUCAGACACCAUCUCACUCUCCAAGUCCCUUCUCGGUGAGACGGGGGGCCUUGCACCCACCUCCCAGCCCCCACACACCUGAGGGGGUCCCCGUUCCCCUACCCCGUGGCUCCACCACGCCCCACGCAUCCUACCUGAGGGACAGAGGGGACUGUGAGAUGCCCCCCACAGGCUGGUUUUCCUCUUUCACCCAUAACAGGCCCAGCAAAUUCUCACCUCCAGAGGCCAGGUCUGCCCCGCAGGUCUUAGGAAAUACAGCCCUACUUCCAUCCAGCACACCAACCCAAGGAAGUGCCUCGGAGCCCUGGGGCCCGAGGGGGGCCUGGCCUUGGUCUCACGGCGGCAGCUCCACCUGGAGAGGAGUGAACUCAAGCCAGGACGCCCCGUCUCCACAGCGGAAACCGUGUUGCCGGCUGCUCCCUCCUGGGGACUCUGGGCCUGAGGUUCCUGUGGGAGUUGGGGGGAUAGCUGAGUCCUAUGGAGGUGCCCCUCUCCUCCCCGCCCAGUGGAGCUUGGGGUGGGGACAGGCGAAGACAGGGUGAGAAGCACGGGGCAUUCCCCCUCCACACAGCGCUGAGAAAGUAAGGGAGCAUCCAGAAAACGGUGCCCACUUCCGCGUCAGGCGGAUAUCACGGGCACCAGCUCCAGGUGACCCUAGCCCAGCCAGAGAACAAGGACCAGGUUGUGCCGCAAAGCCCGUGUCCGCUCCCUCCCGCCUGGGACCACUGUGGCGAGGGGAAGGGAGCGUGGUGGCCCUCUCCUGACUCCUGAGGCCUGAAGUCCAAGCUCCCGGCCCUCAGGCAGGCCAGGGUCUAGACACCGCUGCCCCAAACACACCCCCCAGUCCCCGCCCGCAGGCUUCCUGCAGGAUCCCCCAGUGCACCUGGGGGCUGAGGAGAGUGAGCAGGGCGCAAAGAAGCUUCGUCGGGAGGGCGGUCCCCACCCGCCUUGGACCCCCGGGGAUAGUGUCCUGGGGCCUGGGCUCAGAUGCACCCUGGGAGGAAUGGUGCGGAGGCUGUUUUUUGCUCCAAGAGGACAUUGCCUCAGCAGAGGGCUGCCGAGCUGGGAGGACCCACAGUGCAAGGCCGCAGAACCCCCUAGGAAGCCUCAGAGCCUUCAGGUUCCGGGCUGAGGCUGUGGGCGUGGACCCUUGUGCAAACCCCACUGGAAGAAAAACCUUACAGCUCAGGAGGAGGAGGGGCCCCACCCGCUCCCAGAGCCCGUAAACGAGGGGUGGUGCCCACAUGAGGCCUGGGGAAGGGCUGGGGCUGGGACACCCCCUCACCACCCCCAGAUACCCCAGGCAGCCCCUCCCUCCACAGAGAGACCCACUGGGCCUGACCCUGCCCUGGGCACAGGGUCGAGCCAGGGACGGCCCGUGGGAGAAAGACGGCUUCAUGGGCCGCUGGCCGGGCCAGGUGCGUCCUUCCCCAGUUCUAGGUGGCAAAUGGGGUGGGGCCAGAGCCUUCUGGCUAGGGAAGACACUGGCCUGGUUGGUGUGGCAGGGGCAGCGAAGGAGGGUCAAAGGCCACUCUGGCCUGGAAGAGUCCCCAGCCACCUGGACGGGGGUAGCCAGGCCUGGUCCCUGCCCCCACUCUCCAAGGGGUCGGGGCAGCCGGGCAGAGCCAGUAAGUGUUUGUUUUCAGAUGACAUUUGUAAAGAAAAACAGCCUCCCACACUGCUUGACCCUGUGUCUGGAAUGUGGGGAGGCAAACAGCUGUGCCCUUCCCAGACCCUGCACAGCCCCUGGUGGGGGCAGGGCCCUGGUGGGAGCAGGGCCCAGAGGUACAGCCUGGGGAGGCACCGGCCAUUGUGGUUGGAGCGCGGCAGCCAGGCUCUGGGCUCUGUUCCGGGCCUCACUGUGUCCCCAGUGGGGUGCCGCCACCACCCCCCCAGCCUGGGCCCCGCCGGUCAGACACCCGCAGGGACAGCUUGUCUUGGCUAGCUGGCUACAGCACCUCGCUGGAGUCCAGCAGACACGCGCUCCCGUGCGCACGCUGCGCCCCAGGCCAGCCCUAACGCCGCUGCUCGGGUCAGGCCCCCCGCCUGCCGUGGGCUGCUGGCUGCCUUGGCCCGCCCCAGCUCUCUCCGCGCCCCUGCCUCCAGGGAGCCCUCCUCGAGGACUCCAGCCACCCAAGCUCAGCAGGGCCAGCCCGAGCCCCUGCCCCACACAGCCUGUGUGGAGGGUCCUCAGCCCCCUGAUCCCCCAGACCCUCCCGGCAGAGGCUGGGUCCCUGGGGCUUGGGGAAAGCCGGCUCCAUGGCCCCUGGCCUGGAUGAUUUCCCAGAGGCCGGUCCCCUGCCAAGUGCCUGGUGACCCUUGUUCCUACCUGGCUGCCCAUGGUCCUUUGUGCGACCCCCGCCCACAGCCCAGGAGCUGGGCAGGAGACUCUGAUUGGGUGGCAGCAGAGCCAUCCUAGGGCUGCCCCUGACCCUGGCCCUGACCCUGCCCUGGAGCCUCGUUUCCAAAUCUUGCCUCAUGCUUUCGCCAGACCCCUGUGGCCCCUUCCCGACCCUGGAGUGCCCCUGGGGCUUCCUGGAAAGGGCCUCUCCUUUGCUCACAGUUGGGUGCCGAACUUCACCAGCAUUGACCACCCGAAGGCGCAGGGACACCCCCGCAGUCCCUCUCCUGGGGGUCCCAUCACCAACUCCCCAUGGGCGGGAUAUCAGAAGAAUUCUCUGCGCAGGUGCUCCGCCCCUUCAGGCACAGGGGAGGGCGGCUCAGGGGCCAACGGCAGACGUUGGUGCCUGCCCCUGCAGCGGGGUGCCCCAUGCUGAGACAGCACACACGGGGGACACUCCGGGCCUCGGUCCACCCUCCAUGUGGCAAAUGAGGUGCUUGGCGGGGCUUCUUAACUCUUCACCCUGGGCUCCCCACGGGUCCCUUCCCUUCCCCUUGGGGGCCCCGGCCCCAGGUCCCCAAGGCCUAGACCUGCCUCUGCCACCCUCAGAGCAAGGAUGCGCUGCAGAGGGAGAGGGGCUGCAGCUCGGCCCCAGAGCUCCGGCUUCCUGUCUCCCAGACCACAAAUCACUAAAGGCCGUGGGUCCUGGGACAUUGAAGGCCCAGGAAGCUCCUUGUGUUGAGUUAAACAUAGUGGAGCAGAGGCAUGGAGCUGGCAUUUCCCACGCUUACGACCACUCUGCUACGGGCUGGGGUGGGGCUGGGAAUCAGCUUCCCCUGCGCCCCGCCAUCCCUUGUCCAGAGGGACCCGUGGGAAGGCCAGGUUGAAGAGUUAAGAAGCCCCGCCGAGCACCUCAUUUGCCACACGGAGGGCGGACCGAGGCCCGGAGUGUCCCUCUUGCGCACUGUCUCAGCAUGGGGCACCCCGCUGCAGGGGCAGGCACCAACGUCUGCUGCUGGCCCCUGAGCCACCCUCCCCUGUGCCUGAAGGCCCAGCACUUCCAGGGCUGCCCGAGCUGAGGACCUGUGCAGAGAACUCUUCUACACCCCACAGAGGAGGCUGAGGGGUCGAGGCGGCUGCGGGAGCCCCAGGGGGCCACCACACAGCCAUGCCUGCCCCUCUCCUCGGUGGGUGUAGAAAGCUCUUAAAUGGUGGAAAAACAAGGGCAUGGCCACAUUGCACAGGCACAGAAGGUUCCAGAAGGAGUGAAACAAUGGCAUGGAGGGAGCAGAGCCUGGGCCGGUGGGGGCACAGGGAUGAGGCCAGUGAAGGCCACGGGUUGGGGGGUGCCCUGAAGCCAACGACCCCAUCCUUAUCGCCUGUGUCUCUCUGCACACAGCGUCUCGUCUGCAAAGUUAGCUGAGCAAACGCCAGGAGCCAAGGGUCGAGGCAACGAUAUCCGUGGGGCCACUCCACACCCCCUCUGCCUGCCCCAUCAAGACCUGCUUUCCUGGUUGAAAUCCAACUCACGAUUUGCCCCCGGGGGCCCAGCAGCCCUACCCAAUGGAGCAGCUGCACCCACAUUGCCCAGCUUCCCAGGCGGACAGGGGCUUGGUGAGCCUUCCUGUCCCCACUGGAGCAUGGCCGGAGUGAUUUUCUGCUUCUGCUGCAGAUCACCCUGGUGGGAGCAGCUGUAAUCGCAUUAUCCCCAGUUAUGCCUCCACUGGGCACUGGGGUAGGGACAGGACUGCCAGGACACGAUUCCAUUUACCUAACGCCAGUGGAGCCCUGGGGGCUCUCCUAGGUCCACGGGGAGGGGUGGCCAUCUCUCUAGGCCCAGGGACCCCAGGACAGGGGUAGAAAACCACGGGAGAGUUAAGGAGUUAAGGCCAGAAGGGGCCAGUCCGGCCAAGUGGGGCAAAGCUGUCCACCGUUGGGCAGGGCAUGACUGAGGGGCGGUGUGGGGAACAGCUGCUCAUCUCCCCCAGGCCCAUGCCCGUGAUGAACUGUGUGACUACCCCCAGGAUCAGUCAGGAAGCUUGGCCCAGGAGCCUGUGCAGACCUAACAGCCAGCUCCAGCCCCGAGGCAGGGCAGCUGUGCUCCAGAGGGCUCCCGGGGCCGCACUGUCCCUCCCAGGUGGACACCCUCGUGGCACGUACGCCCCUGCUCUCAGCCCUCUCCUUCACUGGAUGGAGAGACUCGGGACCCGCAGAGGUGGGUGGCGGGCAGAGGAGGUGGAGCUGGUCUGAGACGCAAGACGUGGCCUGUGGAUUCUAGGAGCAACUGGUGGCUUCCAAGGUCCCCCACCCACUCCACACAUGUUCCCAAACCCCGUUUUGCAGAUGAGGAUGGCAGGCUCAGCACAGGGGCCCAUGUCUCUGUCACCAGGCAAGGUGGGGGGGCUCUAGGGCCAGAAUCGCUCCCACCUCCAGCCGGGGAUCAGAGGUCUCUGGUUAGCAGCCGAGGCGAGCGGGACACAGGCUGAGGGAUGGGGACAGCUGCUCGCCCGGCACAGACAAGGCUCCCCUCCCCAUGCUGGAGACCCCGGCUGCCCCAUCAGUCACGGCCCACCCAGGACCAUGCAAUCAUCCUCCACUUCUCCUAAUCCUCCUGCCAGCUUCUUCCCAAGAGUCCAAGCAGUUGGAUGCAUUUUCUAAAUUCUCAGGCCACUGCUGUUUCCUCCUCAAAUUCCUUGUCCCCCACCCGUGGCCCCCUCCCAGCCAUGGGAAAGGACUGCUGCGGCCUCCCCACAGGCCUGUGCACGGGUGGGGCUGCGUCCAGGCAGCUGUGAGGUACCGGGGACCCAGGGGUAAGAGCCCCGAUUACAGGGGCGUCAUGGGAAAGUGGCGAGGGGAGGCCACCCAGGGCCCCCACCACAGCCCCGCUCCACAUCCUCCCCUGAUCUCUGGCCCUGGAAAGAAUCAGAUGGGACCCCCAGCAGCAGUCACUUGAGUCCCACUGCCACCGGCUGUGCUGAGGAUGCCCACUGGGCCGUGCUGUGGCCACCUGGCUUGCAGUGUGGGCACCAAGGUAUCGGCCCAGAUUCCUACCCAUCAGAGCACCAGCACAGGGCCGAGCCAGUGCCACAGAGCCCCUGGGCUGCAGCACGUCCUGCACGUCCCACAGACCGGCCUGCCGGGAGGGAGGGGUGCUGCCCAGGGCUCGGUGCCCUCCCGGAAGGGGCUUCAGUGGGGCUGUUUGCCAGGUGGUGGCUCUGACGCAGGAGAGGACAGAUGGGCAGAGCCCGAGGGCAGCCCUGGCCAGGUGCGUACAGUGGUGGCUGUGACGCCCUCUCCCACGCCUGUCUCUGGGUCCAGGAGGAGUGAUGAUCUCCAGGCUCCAGAGGACUAGGAACAGCAGGCAGGCUCGCUGCUGAUAACGGGGACUUCUCCACCUGGUGGGGAGUGAUGAGGCAAGACCGGAUGGCAGGCCCCAGGCCUCUCCUCUCCAGGGACAGCCAUCAUCUCCUCGCCUGUGCAGGUCUCAAUCAGUCAGUGAUUACGCAACCAGCAACCAGCACUUUAUUGCCGGUUGUGAAGAUCUGGAGGACAUGCGGGUCCCCGGGGCCACAGCCUUCCCGCAUGGGUGAGCAGUAAGCUGUGCAAUUAGCCCUCAGGCCGUCAUCGCCAGGCCCUGCCUUUGUUCCUCCACCUGCCGCCCGCCGGAAGCCUCCCACAACCUGGCCAGCCUGCUCUUUCUCCCCCUCCACUCUGACCCCUUCCUCCUCAGGGCCCUGACAUGCAGCUAUCUGGCACCCAGUUUCAAUACCUUUUUCUUUCUUUUUUUUUUUUUGAGACAGAGUUUCACUCUGGUUGCCCAGGCUGGAGUGCAAUGGCUCGAUUUCGGCUCACCGCAACCUCCGCCUCCUGGGUCCAAGUGAUUCUCCUGCCUCAGCCUCUGAGUAGCUGGGAUUACAGACAUGCGCCACUACGCCCAGCUAGUUUUGUAUUUUUUGUAGAGACACGGUUUCACCAUGUUGGUCAGGCUGGUCUUGAACUCCUGACCUCUGGUGAUCCACCCACCUCGGCCUCCCAAAGUGCUGAGAUUACAGGUAUGAGCCACCGAGCCGGGACUUCUUUUCUUUUCUUUUUCUUUUUUCCAGCCCUCAACUAUCCGUUUCAUUAAAAAAUUCAGAAUUCUCUCCCCUGCCUGCCAGGAUGGGACCCAAAACUCGGGCAAUAGGCCUGCCCGAGUUGUGGCCCUGGGCCUGUCCCCGACAAGUCACCCUACGUUUUCCAUUCCACCAUCCUCUCUCUGCACCUCAAGCACCGUGAACCCUCUCCCACCUGCCUGACCUCGCCGUCUCCAAAGGAGAACCUUUCUUGUGUCAUCCCGCCCUCUCUAGGCCCGCCGUCUGCCUGGGGGCUGCCCUGGUGGCUGUGCUGUGUCUCCCACUGCUGUGCGCACGGUGCUGCCUGCUCUUUGCCUCAGAGGCACUGGAGCCCAUGUGCUCGGGGGGGUGUGGCCUUCGAACACUGUGAGUCCCCACAUCUUGCCUCCAGAGGCCACAGCUGGCCUGGGCCAAGCCUGGGCCACUUCCUCUGCAGUGACCAAGAGCAGGGCUGCCUCGAGGGUUUCGGGGCAGGAGAGAGGGAACAAAUCUCCUGGAGGCAGAUGGGGGCCACAGGGAGGCUGGAGGCCUGGAACCCCUCCCAGAGAGCCAGUGGAGGGAUGCUGCCUGGCAGAUGGGAGAUGGCAGGCGGGUGCUCCAGGGGCUCCUCCCUCCUUGUAGCACCUUGGACAUGUUUUGUUUUAUUAUGGUGAAAAUAUGUAACAAAACUAGCCAUUAUAGCCAUUGAGCCACUGAGCCACGGAGCCACGGAGCCACGGAGCCAUGGAGCACACACAUCAGUGGCACUCAGUCCAUUCUCACUGCUGCGCAGCCAUCGCCACCAUCCACCUCAGACCUCCUCCCUCUUCCCAAACUGAAGCUCCCUGAAGGUGCCCAGCCUCCUUGCCAGUAGAUGAGAUGGGGAGGCAGCCCUGCUCGACCAAGGAGGCAGAAGUCUUGAUUGUUCUCCCUACAGUCCCACGGGAAGCACCUGCAGCAGGGCCCUGGCUGGACAGACGGCCACAAGGGGUGUGGUGCAGUGAUCGGGUGCCCUGGCCUGGGCAGGAGAGUGGCGCCCUUGGCCUGCCCAGCCCCUGCCCUGCGGCCCGCCUGACAGCCGAGGGGAGCUUCACCUUCCAGCCUCUGGCUGUCAUUAGCUGCUCCCGGUGGGAGGUGGGACCGGCAGGGGAAGCUCAGUCCCACAGCCAGUGAGGAUCCAGGCUCAAGCGGAACCACCUGGACCUCAUUAUUCUUAAGUGGUCCAGUCUGAAAGUUUGGGAAGAGGGGAGGAAAAAACUGCCAAUCCCCACGCCUGGGGAGCCCCACCCCCUCUUCAAGCCAGCACUGAAGCCCUGGGGGUUUCAGCCACAAUGGAGAGCUAAACCGGGCCCACCCCAGGGCCCAGGAGGGGCAUCUGUAGAGGGUUCAGCCCCAGGAGGACUUGGAGGUCAGGCAAGCCAACGGGAGUUCAGAGCUUAGGAGGGGUGAGAGGUCAGACUCUGGUCCUUUCUCAUCACCUGGGGUCCGUCUGUCCUUCCAGGUCACCUGGGGUGUCUACAGUCAAGGCCAGUCUGACAGGUGGGAUGGUGCUUCCCAGCAACCCCACCCUGAGGAGAACCCUGCUGCCUCUCCCUGCUCUCCACCCCCAGCACAGGCCCCGGGAAGCCUCCAGCUGAUGACGACACCAGGACGGUGCUGAGUGGACCCUGGGGCCAGCAUCACAAGGCACCCAGGACCCCAGACCACCCAGCCACACCCCAGGCUACGAGGAGGGGGCGCUCCGGCGAGGCUGGGGUGCCUUCAAGGUGCAUCCUAGCAACAUCCUCCACCUGCAGGAGGGACACUCGGUCACAGCUUGGGGAGGAUGUGCUCAGACGGCAUAGGAAGGAUUUGCUCAGACCCCAUGGGGAGGAUUUGCUCAGACCCCGUGGGGAGGACUUGCUCAGACCCCAUGGGGAGGACUUGCUCAGAACCCAUGGGGAGGACAUGCUCAGACCCCGUGGGGAGGACAUAGACCCCGUGGGGAGGACUUGCUCAGACCCCGUGGGGAGGACAUGCUCAGACCCCAUGGGGAGGACUUGCUCAGACCCCGUGGAGAGGACAUGCUCAGACCCCGUGGGGAGGACAUGAUCAGACCCCGUGGGGAGGACUUGCUCAGACCCCGUGGGGAGGACAUGCUCAGACCCCGUGGGGAGGACUUGCUCAGACCCCGUGGGGAGGACUUGCUCAGACCCUGUGGGGAGGACAUGCUCAGAACCCAUGGGGAGGACUUGCUCAGACGGCAUAGGAAGGAUUUGCUCAGACCCCAUGGGGAGGAUUUGCUCAGACCCCGUGGGGAGGAUUUGCUCAGACCCCGUGGGGAGGACAUGCUCAGACCCCGUGGGGAGGAUUUGCUCAGGCCCCAUGGGGAGGACUUGCUCAGACCCCGUGGGGAGGAUUUGCUCAGACCCCGUGGGGAGGACAUGCUCAGACCCCGUGGGGAGGAUUUGCUCAGACCCCGUGGGGAGGACUUGCUCAGACCCCGUGGGGAGGAUUUGCUCAGACCCCAGGCAGGCAUCAUGAAUGCGCCCAGCCCGGACCCCAGACUGGUAGCUCCUACCACACGCGGAGCAGCAGAGGCUGGCAAGAGGGACUCAGGACUUGGGCUGGGGACAGAGGGCCCUGCACAGCUCUGGGGUCCUGACCCAAUCCUGCAUUUCCAUAGAGAGCUGCCUGGGCACCCAUGCUGAGGGUCCCUGCACCCCCUGGUGUAUCGGAGACCCUUCCCCCACCCCCUAUCCCCCGCCACUGAGACACAGGAAUGUACAGGAUGGCUGUGAGGGCAGAGGCAGGCCCAGGGCGCAGCAGGCAGGGCUGGGCGGGGCUGGGGAUCUGCAGGAGGUUGGCCCUGGAGAUGGGACAUGUCUGGACCCUCGGUGUCAUCACCUCUAUGUUUUGACCACUGAGCAAAAUUACACUAAAUGAAGCACAAAUUAGCCAAGGGGACAGUCGACUCUGUCCUUUCUUCUUAAUCCCUCUGGCUCAGGGUUUCCCAGCCUGGACAGCCUGUCCGAGGGGAAGGCUGCCCAAGGGCACACGGGCAUCGGUCCGGGGACAUUCAGGCAGUGACCAAUCCCUGGCCACCCUGGUGUGUGCCCGGCAAUGUGGGCCUUUUCCCAGACAGCCAGUGGGGGAGCGGCUGCUGUGGGUCCCUGAGUCUUAGCCAGAUGGUCAAGGAUAGGACAAUGAUGGAGACCCGCAUGCGGCCGCAUCCAUGGGUAAAGGAGGCGGAACGGAGGACAGCUCUGCCAUCCCCUCAGCCAGCCAUGAAAAGCAACCCUUUCCCCUAAGGCCCCAGCACCACCUUGGAGGCCACCAUGGGCUGGAGCCCAGCACAGCCACCAUCGCAUCUUGGCUGUCCAGCUCAGGACGGCCAGUUCCAAGGCGUCCAGGCUGGAGCUCUGGGGGCGGAAGAGCACAAGCUCCUGAAGAGCCUCUGGUCCAGCCCUGGCAGCGGAGGGCCAGGUGAGAGCCUGUUGAGGGCUCUGAGGACUCCAGGAGGGACUGGCUGAGGACACCGGUGGGGGUAAUACCUCCCCCUCCAAUGGCCGCUCGCAGGAGGCAAUUCCCAGAGCCCCGCUCCAUGGGCCACCAGGUACCCAGAGCCUCAUUUAGAAAUGGCCAUGCCUCCCCACAGGCCCCCGCUGGGAUCCUGGUGCUUCAAAUGUCCUGCUGUGGUCCCAGGGAGGAGCAAAACCCCCUCCCAGUCAGGAAGCAUCCUCAACCGCAUCUAAUUCCAGAUGCUACCUCCCACCUUGGCUUUCCAGGAGACGGAGAACGGAGCCGGCCCCUCUCCAAGGCCCCGAGGCCCGGCAGGGCACCCCUCGGAGCAGAUAAGCUCACCCCUGCUCCCAGGACAAGCAAGCUCCUGCUGAGGCUCUGCUACUGCUAAUUGGCCCUUGGGAUAAGCAGACCUGUCCAGGAAAGAACCCUCUCCCUGAUCUCCUGGCCCCAGCCCCAUCCGGCCGGGAGUUCUGACUUAAGCAAAUAAUCAGUCCAGGGAAUUGGAGGCUCAACAGAAUCGUCCUCCAGGAAUCUGGUCUUCGUUCCUCCACCCUCCUCCUCCCGUCUCCGCCCGGGGUCUUGAGAUCAACAGCAAGGUUUUGCACUCGUAGGGGCUUCCCGGAGACACCCUCCAGCCUCAACCCAGAGGAGAUGGGUGCCUGGGCCGUGACCCCUCACACAAGAGGACCAAGCCCAGAGAGGAGACGGGAAGCCAUGCGCCCGGCCAGCUGGGGUCUGCGAUGGACUCAGUGGGGUCCAGCCCUCCUCACUCCAAGGGGAGCUGGGAGCCGACCCGGUGAGGGAGGGCAUCCUGGGAAAGUGACAGGAAUCAGGGAAUGGCCCUGGGGCUCCGGACCUCCUCUGAUGGAGUCAUUCAAGGCCCUUGGCAGAGCUGGGCAUCCUCUGGGCCCCAGGGAAUAAGGUCCCCUCACUCCACCACAGAACAGCAUCUGGGCACCUACCUGUUGGCCAUGGGCAGAGCAAAACUCUCUCCUGGACCCCAGUGCCCAGAGCCCUGGCCUUGGGAGGGAGCUGUGCAUCCUCAGGAGCCCCCCCGGGCUGCCCCCCACCACCCUGCAGGCAGCUCACCCUCCCACCCCACCAGCUGCAGGUGCGGACACGUGUCUUCUCCUUCCCCAAAUGCUCGUUCUGCACCUGCUUCGGGAGGGCAGUCCUGCCUGCUCACAGCCCAGCCCUGCCCGAACUCCUGGCCAUGUGUGGAAACACACGGGCGUUAGAACAUGGCAUCCCGGUUCCCUUCUAUGUUCAGGAAGACGACACCCAUCUGGCUGAGGGGAUGGCAGAGCCCCUCUCCCCACAGCCCCCUCUGCAGUGCAGCUCUCCUUUCCUCUCCCCGCAUGCCUCUUCCCGAGGGCAGCCCCUUCUCUCCAUCAGGAUCGCAUGCCUCUUCUCGAGGGCGGCCCCUUCUCUCCAUCAGGAUCACCCUUCCUGGGCCUCCGGGGUGCAACGGGCGGGCGCUGUUUCCCCCAAGCCCUCCCUUCCUCCCUCGGGGUGGGGCCCUUUCCUCCAGGCUCUUCUCCGUCUCCUGGUCUCUGCCAUCUCCCAAAACCCAUUCUAUUUCUCCACAUGUCUACCUCGUCCCCCAUCCGUCUCCAUUCUCCUAGUCUCCCGCCUGCCAGCCCGGCCCUGGCACCAGCCACUUGGCAGCCUCCUCCUCCUCCUCCCAGAACCUUCUCUUUCCUUCCUGGUCCCAUCUCAAACUGCAGCAAGCUGGUCGAAAGGUGAGACCAGGCUGGGAGGAGCUGUGGGCCACGGAGAUGGUGGCCGGGGGAGGUAUGGGAGGUGGGAGGGCAGGCGGGCCAGGUGGGGAGCAGGGCAUCUUGCCAUGGGAAGGGCUGGAGGAAACACCGCAUCCAGGGAUGGCCAGAGCUCGCCUGGAGCCCCUGAAGGUCUUGCUUUUAGAGCCGGGUGGGGCUGCUGUGUGGCCAAGCCGGGCGAGUGGCCCCAUCCCCGGGUCCUGGGCUCCUGGCGUCUGCCCUGGAGCCCACCAUGUUGCAGUACUGUGUGGCCGUCCAUUGCUGCUCUCUUCACUGUAUGACCGGGGGUUCCCUCUGUGCCCCUCAAAGCCCCAACUUGCCUGGACUUUGGGUCUGCAGCUGGCGCAUGGGAAUCUUCCCACAUGGCAGCGUAGGGUGACUAUGGAGCCGACCAAGGCUGCCAAGGUCUUACUUGAGUAGAAGACGUCCAUCCUGAGCGAUCCUGUUGGCCGGUCCUCCGGAUCCAGCCUUCCUGGGAAUGCGGCCACCCACAGGACUCCAAGCGGGUCUGGGGUCCCUGGUCCCCCAGGUUGACCACCCCUUGCUGCAGCUGCUCCGGAAACAGAGGGUGCUGCCCUGGCCAUUUUGCUCCUUGCUGGGUGUCUGGGAGGGCUGCGAGGGGAGGAAGAAGGGCAGGGAGAGGUGAGAGACCCGAGAGAAGGGGGAAGGAGUCUCAAAGGAGGGGAGGGACGGCCGGCCAGCACUGUGGCGCAGUGUGCAGGAGGGGAACAUGGCGGUGCCCGGCACGAGGUGGGGUGCGGGGCAGCCCUGGAGCCCUGGCUGCCUCUCCCAGCAGUGGGUCCGGCACUAGCUAGCCAGCUGAGCUUGCUGUGUUUGGAGUCUGCAGAAAGUGCUGCCCCGCCAAGCCCCACAGGCCAAGCCAGGCCCGAGGGACAGGAAGGAGCAUGGGGCCUUCACUCACUGCCCAGCCCGGGGCACGGCCGGCCCAUCUCCCAUUUCCAGGGCAUCCGGGGACGGGCACGCCCCGGAUACUUACUGCCCUGUCACUGGAGGUUAGCAUCCUCCCUCGUCCGGUGCCCUGCCCAGGUGGCUGUUACCUCCCCUACCUCCUCCAAGACCCUGAGCAGGGGGAGAAAGAAAGUGGACAGAGGCACCCGACCUCCUGACCUGAGUGUGGUCCCCGCUUUGUUCCCCCUUCCUCUGCCCCCAGUUCUCACUGCGAAGGAGGAGAGGGCUCACCUGGGGUGGCCCCACGUGCCUGCCAGCCUUGGUCCAAGACUGCAGAGAAGGGUCCCUGAGGAGGUGGGGAGGAACCCAGAGGCAGAUCCUGAGGGUCUUCCCUGAAAGAGGAGGGCUGGUGGGCAGCAGGAAGAUCCGGGAUUGUGCCCUCAGCUGCCCUCUCUGUCCUGACGUGUCACCCGCUAAGGGUCAUGGGCCAAGGAGGGAACGGGCAAUGUCUGGGAGCCAUAGAGUUGGGAUGGCCCGGCCAGGCUGGGUGUGGGGUCUGUUGGGGAUCCCAGGUGAGGGGAAGGAAUUGGGAGUGGACCUGGGCCCGAGGCAGGUUGGGUGGCUGGUGCAAGGCAGAGGGCUGGCCCCGGGGGCAUUCUGUCCUGGUUCCUCUGUCCCCUCACCCAGUUCGUGAGCAUCCCUCGUGGAGCAGGCCCCAGGGAGAUCACGGGCGGCGGGUGGGCAGAUGGAGUGCAAUAUCCCCCAAGGAAAGUGUGUUGUGAGGUGGUGGAGGGCAGGGCCGGAGAGGCCCCAGCUGUGGAGCAGGACGCUGGAGGGCUCAGGGCAGCCGAGCCAGGGCCCGGGGCAGCCGCAAAGUGGCACUGUGUUCUUUUGGGCCGGACCAGAGCCCAGGCAGUGUCAGGAGGUGGAUGGUGUGGAAGAGAGAGGAGUUCCAGGGGCGCACUGGGGGGCCCUCUGUGUGGCUGGAAGGUGGAGGGGCGCUGGGUGGAAGGGCUGGCUUCGGGCUGGCGGCUUGGGCUAAGGCAGGCUUGCAGGGGCUGGCUCCUGAACCCACGCAUGGCGAGAAGUAUGGGCUGGAGCGGCCACAGCAUUGGGGAAAGACAGAUGGGAGGGCUGGACAGGAAGCAGGGCUGUGGCCAGGCCGGGGCCCCGGGAGGACAGGGACGAGUGGUGGACGUGAGGGUGCAGAGGAGCAAAGUCCAGGACUUGGCCCGGAUCGGGAUGCUCAGGAGGCUGGGGAUGCUCGGAGGAAAGCAAUGGGGGAGCCCGGCUGCCUGCCCCACCCCUGCCACCCUCAGCUCCUUCUGCCCGCCAGGACUCCCAGGCUCCAUCAGGUGCCGCAGCACCCUGGCUGCGACAUAACGAGGUGGGACAGGGUCAGCAAGGUGACUUCUCGUGCCCCAGUGUUUGCAAAUCCCCAAAAUGACCCAACAGACAAGCUCGAGGCUGGAUUUUCCAAGAGGGCCCCUUCAAGUACCAAAGGACACAAAGAGCAGGCCCUUCUGAGUCUGCGGCCCACAGAUGGCAACACGGGCCCCGGACCCCAGGACCACCUUGGGCACAGAGCGGCUGGGCCCAGGAGGCUGGCCUCUCCCGGGGAUCCCACGGCUGGCCUGCGGGGCUGCAGCAAACACGUGCAGGGCUUUCCAGAGCCCCGCACAGAACAAAGAACAAAAUGGGGAGAGCAGGGCCUGGGCUGAACGGACCACGGGCGGGUGGGCGGAGGGGCACAGCGGCAUGGCACCCACUGCCAGGCCGAGGGCAGCUGCAGGGGGCUGGGCUGGAGCAGACCCGGGGUGGGGGUGGGGGCUGGAGGAGGCUCUCACGGCCGGAAUCAAUAACUCACACUGGGGGAGGGCGGGAGACGCUUGUGGCGGAGCGGGGAGGGGGUGCCGGACAGGGUGUCCCUCCACCCCCAAGUUCAAAGUUUUAUGGCGAGCAGGCUUGACUUCCUCCCGCGUCCCUCCUCUCCAGGUGUUAUUUGAAAAAAAUACUUUUCAAACUACAUGCUGAAAACUUCAGCAUGAAAAUUUAAUGUCAGAAACUCUGUAAUCUCUUUCCCAGAGAUAAGACCCAGCCCCUCGAGGAGGGGCGAACUCGAUCCCUCUAACACAGAAAGCAGACGCCAGGCCGGGAAGGCAGGGGCCUGGCGGCCUCACUGGGGGAGGCUCAGGCUCACGCUCCCUCCCUCCCUCCCACCCGCGGCUGGGAGGGGGUGACUGAGAGAGGCCCUGCAGGGCUGGAGCUGCAGGGCUGGGGCGAGGGGUCCGGCAGGAGGGGCCGUCCUAGUGCAGCCUGCAGGCUUCGGGCCUUCGGGAAGCACAUCCUGCCGCUCUCCCGCGUGCACCCCGCUCCCCGGAACUUGGAGUGGGUGCCGCUGCUGCCAAGGCUCGGGUUUCCAUGACGGCUGAGGCCCCUGGCCCUCUCACUCAGACCCUAACUUAGGCCUCGCUGAGGGCUCAGGUUGUGGACAGCUAAGCUGGGGAAGGACAACGUGGCCACCACCGCCCACGGCCUUUCUGACCGGCAGCGCCGCCCUGGGUUGGGUGGCGGGGGCGUCCUGCACACACGACUCCUGAGGUCAAGCCUGGGUGUGGGGGUCUUGGACUCUGAGCUGCCAGGCCCGCCGGGUCCUGGCCUCAGGGAGAGGGGAACGGAGCUGCCACACACCCGGCUCUUGACUCGAUUUCUCUGUGGGGGACAGACAUAACUUCUCCAAGCUGUUUCCAACAGCCCCCACCCUGAAGACGGCCUCCACCUCAGACAUCAGACAACGCCCC
rnacentral:lncRNA from 1 species